rnacentral:rRNA from 1 species
CCUACGGGGGGCUGCAGUGGGGAAUAUUGGACAAUGGGGGCAACCCUGAUCCAGCCAUGCCGCGUGUGUGAAGAAGGCCCUCGUGUUGUAAAGCACUUUCAGUGAGGAAGAACGCCUGGUGGUUAAUACCCAUCAGGAAAGACAUCACUCACAGAAGAAGCACCGGCUAACUCCGUGCCAGCAGCCGCGGUAAUACGGAGGGUGCGAGCGUUAAUCGGAAUUACUGGGCGUAAAGCGCGCGUAGGUGGCUUGAUAAGCCGGUUGUGAAAGCCCCGGGCUCAACCUGGGAACGGCAUCCGGAACUGUCAAGCUAGAGUGCAGGAGAGGAAGGUAGAAUUCCCGGUGUAGCGGUGAAAUGCGUAGAGAUCGGGAGGAAUACCAGUGGCGAAGGCGGCCUUCUGGACUGACACUGACGCUGAGGUGCGAAAGCGUGGGUAGCAAACAGGAUUAGAUACCCCGGUAGUC